GGAGGGUAAGCGAAUGGCUAGCGGCCUCAUUGGAAAUGAGGUGUCCUCAAAGGGAUUGCGGGUUCGAGUCCCGUGCCCUCCG
rnacentral:tRNA from 1 species